AUUGAACGCUGGCGGCAGGCCUAACACAUGCAAGUCGAACGGUAACAGGAAGAAGCUUGCUUCUUUGCUGACGAGUGGCGGACGGGUGAGUAAUGUCUGGGAAACUGCCUGAUGGAGGGGGAUAACUACUGGAAACGGUAGCUAAUACCGCAUAACGUCGCAAGACCAAAGAGGGGGACCUUCGGGCCUCUUGCCAUCGGAUGUGCCCAGAUGGGAUUAGCUAGUAGGUGGGGUAACGGCUCACCUAGGCGACGAUCCCUAGCUGGUCUGAGAGGAUGACCAGCCACACUGGAACUGAGACACGGUCCAGACUCCUACGGGAGGCAGCAGUGGGGAAUAUUGCACAAUGGGCGCAAGCCUGAUGCAGCCAUGCCGCGUGUAUGAAGAAGGCCUUCGGGUUGUAAAGUACUUUCAGCGGGGAGGAAGGGAGUAAAGUUAAUACCUUUGCUCAUUGACGUUACCUGCAGAAGAAGCACCGGCUAACUCCGUG
rnacentral:rRNA from 1 species